ACAUGGUGCUUUAACUCAGCCUUUUUUCUCUGCCUCAAGUUCCUUUUCACAUGUCCCUUCUUGCAUUUCUCCUUUUCUAAGUCCUUUCCAAACACCAAAGCCAAAUUCUAGUCCUCCUCUGAGGAAUUACCCCAGCAUCUCCUUCCCUACACUCCCACAGCAAGGAAUUGGUCUGUACUUCCUCUGUGCUCCAGGGACACUGGACACACCCUUCAGUCACAGUGCCUAUGAUUACAUGCCAGCUAUCCAUGCGCACAUGGGUUCUCCUGUCUAGGACUGCAGACCCUUGAAAUUGAGAAACAGCUCUUAUUUCUUUCUGCAUUUGAAGAACCUAGCACAGUGCCUGAUAGAUAUUAAACUUCUAUUAUUCUUAGCAGUAGUGGUAUUCAUUGUUAUUAUCAAACUAUUAUUAACAAUAAUAGCUUUGAAAGUAUAUGAUUGCCACCUGUCCCUGACAUUCUGCUAAGCAUUUCAUUUGUUACAUUUUACCAUCAUAAGAAUCUUAGAAUGUAGAUGAUGAUACAGAUACUAUGAUAACUCCAGUUUACAGAUGAGAGGUGAAGGCACAGAGCAUGUCUGGCACCUGCUCCAGGUGUCAUGCCCCUAAGCAGCAAAGCCUGGCUACAUCUCCUGUGGACUUUCUGUACAGAUGUGAGUGGAAUUUGCUUUCUCUCUGCUCAUCAUUUACCCAAGCCCCAGCACAGUAACCCUGAAGACAUUUGAUAAAAUCUCAUUGACUUGAUGAAUGAAUGUUCUGUGAUCUCUACUCUUUGAUGUUGGUGGGAUGAACAGUGAACUUAUAUCUUGAGUCUGGAGUAAAGAAGGGAUCUAGAAGUCCUUUAACUCCCAUAUAUCAUCUUACACAUACACAGAGAGAGAGAGAGAGAGAGAGAAAGAGAGAGAGAGAGAUAGAGAGAGAGAGAGAGAGAUGGAGAGAGAGAAAGGGAAGGAGACCAGAGAAGGAUUCUAUAAAAUUCUGAUAAGAUGACCACUGGCUAUAAGCCAUAUGGUUUUAUUUCUGUAGCAGUUGCCUUUGGCUUUAGGUGAAGUUGCUGGCAUAUUCAGAAUAGUCUUUUUUUUUUCCAGAAUGGUUUUUUAGAUGUGUGUAGGCCAGAAGGGCUAGACCUUGGAGUCAGUAAACCCUGUGUGAAUUCCAGCCUUGCCAUGGCCUCUGUGUGACUUUGGGCAAGACAUCUAACUCUCUAAAGUUCAACAUAGUGACAAAUAUAUAGGUUAUAGAAGAAGAUGGCCUGGUUCAAAGCUUUCUAGGCUGUGGGAUCUUGGGAAAGAUACUUAACUUCUCUGUGCUUCAGUUUUCCCACCUGUAAAAUGGCUAUGACAUCAUUUCCCUGAUAAAGCUGAUGUGAGAAUUAAAUCAGUUCAUUUGAAGUGUUUAAAAGAGUACCUGACACCCAGAAAAUUAUAAUUAGCUCUUAGGUAAUUGUAUCUACUUCAGAGGGAUAUAGUGAGAAUUAAAUGAUUAAUGCAUUCAUGAAGCAUCUAGACUUCUAAAGCUGAGGCUCAGAGAGAGUGCAUCAUUUCCACCAUAUUCUCUUGGUUAAAGUCACAGAACAAACCUAGAUUCAGGGACUGUGGAUGGGAUGAAGGAGGGGUCUAAAGGCAGGAGGAGUGGCUCAUCAGGGCCACAAAGGCUGUGUAGCCUGUCACAGCAUUAAUAGAGGAGGUGACAUGGGCUACGGAUCUGGGUUGGUGUCAGUGGGUAUUAAAGAGGCAGAAUAGAUAUCAGUAAUUUUACCCAUCAAUGCUCAGCUCUUCCACUCUCAGAAGAGCCCCCAGGCCCUCCCCUCAGAAAUGGUUCCUCAUUUUCUACAACAUCCUAACUAACUGUUCGUAUAUGCUUCACACAAGAAAUCGGAAGAAUGCUUGAGAAAUGGACUAUUUCUAGAGACAGGUCCUCUGGCUACAAAAAAGGGAAAAAUGACAAAAGACAGAACAUUGAAAGCUAUAAUAAAACAAAACAAAAAAAUCCUACAAUGAAGGGCAGAUGAGGGCAUUUAAAGCACAGAGUGUCAUACAGACAAAUGUGUAUUUUGCAUGUGUGCUAUUUCAGUUAUCAGAAGCUAGAUUGCUGCUACAGACCCUAACUUUUCCAAUCCCUCCAUCAGUGAAGGUGAGGAGGAGGAGGUGAUAUUGAGGCUCAUCCAGGGAGGCGGGCAUGUCUUGUUGAUUAGGGAAUCCCCAUGACUGGCCCUUAAUAGGUGCUUUGUAAGUACUUGCUAAUGGUAUUGUCAGCCAUUUAUUUGAAUGGUUUGCUCUUUGCUGGUGCUAUACCAAAUGCUUGCCAAAUGUCAUGUUAUACCACUUUACAGUUUGUAAAUCCUUUUCACCAAUAUCAACUCUUUUAUCUUCACCAGAAUCACCUUUUUAUCCAUGGGAAGACAGAGGCUUGGGAAGAUAGGGACUGGCUCAGUUGGCAAAGUUGGGAUAUAAAUUCAUAUGGUUCAGUCUCCUCAUCCAGUGUUCUAGUUUCUUUCCCCAGACACCCCAGAUUAUCAGGAAUACGUGCUGAAUAUGUGCUAAGUGCCCAGGAGUCUUGGACUGGGCUCUGCUGCAUACUCAGUGAUUUUGCUCUCACUCUGUGUGGUGCAUUUUGCUAUGCCUGAUAUAAAUUCAUUUUCACAAUUGCUACAUGAUAUUGGGACUCGUGCUCAUAUUGCUGAUGAGAAAACUGAUUUCAGAGGGGUUAAGUGAAUUUCCCAAGGUUGUGCAGUUGGAAAGUGCCAGUGCUGAGAUUCAAACACAAGUCUGCAUGAUGCCUAAGGCCACAGUCUUUCCAUCCACUGCUCCCUCCUACGAGAUGGCCUCUCAGCUGUACUCCAGUUCUCUUCCCAUUAUGCUGGACUCAGAGCUCUUUCCAGCCCCAGGUGAUAAGCCUGGAAUUGAGAAUAAAGAUGUGUCCGCACUCACAGGCAGCACCAGAAUUUUCUGUGGCAAACAUCUAGAUAUACACAUAGGCAUUGGCGCUAACAUUUACUGAGCACCUCCUGUAUGCAUCCAUCAUUGGACCUGCCGUUUACAUACAGUGUUACUUUUCAAUCUCAUGUCACACUUACAAAGUUGAUACUCUUGCCCCAUUUUACAGAGGAGAGGGCAGAUACUAAGAAAGGAGAGGUACCUUUCCCAAAAUCAUUCAUGCUGCCCGACUCCAAAGCACUGUUUACUCUCUCAGUGGCCUCAGAGAGGCUUUGAAUGGUGCAGAACCUUGUCUAGGAAAACUCCAUGGAAACGAUGAUGCCUGAGCUGCACCUUGCAAAAUACCAUGCAACCAAGAUAUGUCUGCUGAGGGCCCCAUGAAUGUGUUAUUACAGCUAUGAUUCGGUUUCUAUGUACUUCUCAAAUCAGAUGUGUAAAUAUAGUCAAAAACAUUUCUCUUUGUAGCACAGACCUCCAGCAGUUUCCACUUGGCAUCCUCGUUCCAAGGAAAGAUAAUAAAUUAGUUCUAAUUAUCUUUCCUGCACACUGAGACAAGCUUCUCCUGUUUACACUUUGUAAACAGGAGAGAGAGGGGCUCAUCUAGGCUUCUCCUAAGGAAAGUGGUCUGUGAGGGGAUGGGGGUAGCAAGCAGGUCUGGCAGGUGGCUUUUGGUUCUGAAUCACCUUGGGCUGCUGUGCCCAAAGUGUUUGUACCCCUGGUAUUCAAAUGAGCUCAGAGUAGAUUCUGUCUUCUGUUAUAUAGUAAGAGUCCAUGAAUCUACUGUCCUGGAGGAUUUUUCAGCUUUUUGUUUGUUUGUUUCCGGGCCAUGCCCACGGCAUAUGGAAGUUCCCAGGCUAGGGGUUGGCAUGGUGUUUGAAUGGAAUCUUGAAAAAAGAUAGGUUUCUAAUAUAUUAAGAUGGAGGAGGAAAAAUAUUUUAGGUGGAACAGAGAGGUAGGAAAGAAAACAUGGGCAUGGAUGUGGAAGAGGCUGAUGUGUGAAAAGGAGCUGAAUGGAUCACAAGACUGGGCUCCAUAAGACUGGGCCUCCUUCAUUCAAUGGCAGAUUGUUACUGAGUGUCUACUAUGUGUCAGGCAUGGUUACAGCCUCUAAGAAUAACCCAGUGAACAGCACAGGUUCCAAGACUCCAGUCUGGUGGUUCCCAACCGAGGGCAGUUUUACUCCCAGGUGACAUUUGGCAAUGUCUGAAGAUAGUUUUACUUGUGACACUGAGGUGAUACUACUGGCAUCUAGUUAGUAGAAGCCAGAGAUGUUGCCAGAUAUCCUAUAAUAUAUACGAGAGCCUCCCCCAGCAAAUCAUUGUUGGCCCUUUUCCAGCGUCAGUAGCUCUAGUAGAAUGACAGGCGGGAGCCAGCUCCUGAAGAACCUUGCAGACCAGGCCAAAGAAUGUGCCUGUGCCUUUUCCAGAUCAGGUGGCCUCAUGCAACCAAAUGUGACAGCAGAAAAGCCGAUAGCAAACCCUUUCUGUUGCAAAUGACCUCCCAGCGCAAAAGACAUCAGUUCAGUUGCCUCAGCUCUUUUAUUACAGGCCUGGGAUGACCUGCAAAUGAAAUUCUACCACCUCUGGUUCAGAACUACUCAGAGCUUAUGAGAAUAUACAGCCCACCAAAAGGGAUGGCUUCUUCCUUCUUAAUCAAAUUAAGUAAAUAGUGUCUCUGCAGAAACUCUGCAGAGCGGAGGAAUUUAUUACAAAUGACCUAAUCUCAUGGUUCUCCCAUGAAAAGGAAACAGGCUAAACCAUGUCUAACCCUCUUCACCCUGAGCAUUUCCAAGUACGGGAGCUGGGCCAGAGUCUACUUAUUAAGUUAAGCAAUAUUUACUGGGUCUAGCUUGUAGAGUAUCAGUAUGGUGGAACUUAACUGCCUUUUAAAAUGAAAGUCUACUUUUCAUGAUUAUCUCAAGCAUCCAGUGCUAUUCUGCUCUUUUAUUGCUGGUCAAGAGGAAAACAGGGACUCAGCUGUGGCUUCCAGCUAUGACACGUGACAUGUUCACAUGUCAGUUCAAGAAAGACAAGACAGUGCUCAGGCACUUCGAGGUGGGCAUCUCAGAAACAGCAUAGGCUCUGCUAUCUGUCAUGCCAGUUUGGAUGGGCACCAGCUUUGCCUUUCACUGUGCACUCGUGGACAAAUCUCUUAACCUCUCUGAACUCUAGUCUCUUUACCAAGAAAAACAGAAAGCCAAAUGCCUCUUAGAAUUGUUACUUAGGUAAUUGUGGUGAGGAAAUGGGUAUAAAGCACCAUGCCUAGCAAGCCCUCAAUAAAUUCUAAGUGAUGUUGUCAGGUCAUUUUCCCAUCUAGAUGUCUCAGUGAAGAUGUGGGGGUGGCCAAGGGAAAAAAAAACAAAAAAAA
rnacentral:lncRNA from 1 species